rfam:Erinaceus europaeus unplaced genomic scaffold scaffold00086, whole genome shotgun sequence
GGAUGUGAGGGCGAUCUGGCUGCGACAUCUGUCACCCCAUUGAUCGCCAGGGUUGAUUCGGCUGAUCUGGCUGGCUAGGUGGGUGACCCCUUCCUCCCUCACUGCUCCAUGUGCGUCCCUCCCGAAGCUGCAUGCUUGGUCAAAGAGGACAGCCUUCCCCGAAUAGAGAUGGACCCGUCUUUGGUUGAGGGUAUACGAGUAGCUGCGCUCCCCUGCUAGAACCUCCAAACAAGCUCUCAAGGUCCAACAGUUGUAUUUACAUAUAUUUAUACUUUUCAUUAGUUUAUAUAAUAAUGCAGUUAAUCAUAUAGCAGUAAUUUUUCUUUACAUG